rnacentral:rRNA from 2 species
CAGCCGCCGCGGUAACACCAGCCCCUCGAGUGGUGGGGAUGAUUAUUUGGCCUAAAGCGUCCGUAGCCGGCCGAGCAAGUCUUCCGUUAAAUCCAGCGUCUUAAGCGUUGGACCGCGGGAGAUACUACACGGCUAGAGAGUGGGAGAGGUCAGCGGUAUUCUGGGGGUAGGAGCGAAAUCCAUUGAUCCCCGGAGGACCGCCAGUGGCGAAGGCUGCUGACUAGAACACGUCUGACGGUCAGGGACGAAAGCUGGGGUAGCGAACCGGAUUAGAUACCCGGGUAGUCCCAGCUGUAAACUAUGCAAACUCAGUGAUGCAUUGGCUUGUGGCCAAUGCAGUGCUGCAGGGAAGCCGUUAAGUUUGCCGCCUGGGAAGUACGUACGCAAGUAUGAAACUUAAAGGAAUUGGCGGGGGAGCAC